AUUGAACGCUGGCGGAAUGCUUUACACAUGCAAGUCGAACGGCAGCACGGGGCAACCUGGUGGCGAGUGGCGAACGGGUGAGUAAUACAUCGGAACGUGCCCAAUCGUGGGGGAUAACGUAGCGAAAGUUACGCUAAUACCGCAUACGAUCUACGGAUGAAAGCGGGGGAUCGCAAGACCUCGCGCGAAUGGAGCGGCCGAUGUCAGAUUAGGUAGUUGGUGGGGGUAAAGGCUCACCAAGCCGACGAUCUGUAGCUGGUCUGAGAGGACGACCAGCCACACUGGGACUGAGACACGGCCCAGACUCCUACGGGAGGCAGCAGUGGGGAAUUUUGGACAAUGGGCGCAAGCCUGAUCCAGCCAUUCCGCGUGCAGGAUGAAGGCCUCGGUUGUAACUAGCUUUGUUACGG
rnacentral:rRNA from 1 species